rnacentral:misc_RNA from 1 species
AAGUCGUAACAAGGUUUCCGUAGGUGAACCUGCGGAAGGAUCAUUAUCACAAAUGAUUUUAGCUUUCCACUUAAUCCUGGAAGCUAACCUCUUCUUAAACCAAUCUAACAAAAUGUGAAAUCGUUUUAUAUAUAUAUAUAUAUAUUCUCGCAAGAGAAUUAUAUAUAUAUAUUUAUUAACCAAUUGAACCUUUUUCUAUAUUGUUAUUUUAAUUAAAUUUAGUACUGAAAUAUAUUGUUAUUCAUUGGUCGUUAAGUCGAUCAGCAUAACAAUUAUAACAUUACGAAACAAUUUAAAUAAAACAACUCUUAGCAACGGAUAUCUUGGUUCUCGUAACGAUGAAGAAGCAGC